rnacentral:rRNA from 1 species
UAGGGAAUCUUCGGCAAUGGACGAAAGUCUGACCGAGCAACGCCGCGUGAGUGAAGAAGGUUUUCGGAUCGUAAAACUCUGUUGUUAGAGAAGAACAAGGACGUUAGUAACUGAACGUCCCCUGACGGUAUCUAACCAGAAAGCCACGGCUAACUACGUGCCAGCAGCCGCGGUAAUACGUAGGUGGCAAGCGUUGUCCGGAUUUAUUGGGCGUAAAGCGAGCGCAGGCGGUUUCUUAAGUCUGAUGUGAAAGCCCCCGGCUCAACCGGGGAGGGUCAUUGGAAACUGGGAGACUUGAGUGCAGAAGAGGAGAGUGGAAUUCCAUGUGUAGCGGUGAAAUGCGUAGAUAUAUGGAGGAACACCAGUGGCGAAGGCGGCUCUCUGGUCUGUAACUGACGCUGUGGCUCGAAGGCGUGGGGAACAAACAGG